AUGCGCAUGCGGCGGGGGGCGGGGCUGUGCGUGCCCGCUGCUCUCCCUAGGCGGCGGUGUUGCCAUGGCGACCGCGCCGCGCAGCGCCGCCAUGGAGGUGACGGGCAGCCGCUACUGCGGCGGCACCGUGCGCGGCAGGAUGGAGGGAUGGGGCUCCUACACGUUGCCCACCGGCACCGAGUACCGCGGCGAGCUGCGGGACGGCACGUUCCACGGGCGGGGCGCGCUGCUGUUCCCCGGCGGCGGCACGUACCAGGCGGUGUGGCACCGCGGGGUGCCCGUGGAGGGGAAGUUCACUUUUGCAGACGGCCUCGAAUACGCGGCUGAAAGGUGGCAUUACUGCGACGGCUACGACAGGAGGUUCUACACCGAGAUCUGCUCUGGGCUCAGACCCGCAGGCAUUUCUCAGCUUACAAAUCUGGAUCCUCCCAGAAAUAUCCCAGAAGGAUGUUACGACUGUGGUGAUGGAUUCUAUAAUCCUAAAACCAGAAUUGUCAUUGACUACAAGCUGAGGUUUCUGAGAAAUGCAGGAAAGGAAUGGCAGUAAGGUGUUCAGCUCUGAUCCUGAAAACUGGCACGCCAUGUUGUGAACCAGCACAGAGCUUAAGCAUCUGCUUAUCUUUAAGGAUGAUGAGGAGCACGAGUGGAUCAUCCGGACCUGCCGGAAAGCUGAGGAGGGAGCACCAGGGCAGAAACCUAGCCCAUGAAAAUUGGUUUUGCCAGACAAUAAUAUUCCAGAGUAGGUAAUCUGACUGACAGUUAGUCUAAUUUGUCACUGGGUCUCAUAUCACCCUUUCCUUCUACGGGAAUAUAAUCUUUUUGUCAUCUUUGUCAGCAUAAACAAAAAUGGAAAUAAUCACUUAAUCAGUCCUGCUGAGAAAAAGCCAUGAAAAAAAGCAGACUGCUCUCACAGCAAUGUUCCUGAGAGGUGUGUGCUGUGGUACACAUACACGUUAUUAAGCUUGAAAACAAUUUGUUAAAAAGAGUGCCUCAGAUUCAGUGUUGAAGUCAUUCAAAUCCAUCUUAAUCAACAUUAUUUUCCCAGAUUUUAGUUAGCUGUCCUGGUGAAUUCCUUUCCUCUCUUUUUGCUCAGUACUUUGAUAUUGAUUGAUCAUUGUAAUAAUGUACACCAGAGGUAUUCUUUAAUGACUGGUUUGCUAACUAGGAAAUUAUAUCCAUUUACUACGAACAUUUGUUGAACUCUCCUGAAGCCAGAGUUUAACAAAAUAAUAAAAGAGGAAAACUGGGUGGGUUGCUGCUUGAUUAGUAAGCCAGAAAGUAUUUAAAAAAUAAAAUAAAAUGGAAUUACAUCAUUUUCUGGAUGUAAGUGCCAGCACUUCUACUUGCAUUAACUUUAUUUAUUACACAAAUAAGACAUUUACAAAGCACAACAUUAAAAGUAUGUAACAAAACAGACAUUGGUUUUACAAAAAAGUGCUUACAAUUUAGUUUUAAUUUUUAAAAUAAAUAUUAGUCUUGACUGUCCACUCAUUCAGAGAAUUUUUUAACCAUUGUAGCCAAGACAUGCAUAAUUGCAACAUGCUACAACAAAAUGAUUGGCUGACGAAACAAAACCAAUGUGUCUAUAGUUGGCAUCCUACAGAUGUGUCACUGAUAGCAGUGCAGGAUUGAGUCCCACUCCCCGUCCAACCAGUGAGUUGUGUAAGCACCUUUAGCUAGGCAAUGGGUUAACCAGCAUGAGCCAAAAUAAAAAAUAAUUGGUAAUAAUCCUGUAAACCGUUCCUCUUUCAGACCCUCACCAUAUUUAGUUACCUCAUUCAACUUGAGUGAAAAGCCUUUCACUGCCUGUCUUCACUGGAAUUUUGUCUGCAAAAGUUUUGUAAAUAGCAACUGCAGAAGUUUGGUACAUGGAGUCUACGUUGCUGCACUAGAACCCAUUUGGCAAUUACUGAAUAAACUAAGAAAAUGAGAA